AUGGUGCGACUCUUCUUCACCAACACAUCGGCGGCGCGGUCACUUCUACUCCCUCUCGCUUCUUCUCAACAUGGCGGCCUCAACCUCCUCACCCUUACCUUCUCCACUUCAUGUCGCUUAACCUCCUUCAAAGUUACGCUUCGUUCAUGUUACAUCUCCUUCGCAUAUCACGCCUCUGACUCACUUCGAUUCUAUGAUACAACAAAUAGUAGAAAGGGCGAAAGAAAAAAAAAACAGAGGAAUGUCGAAGCUUACUGGCCAAAGAUACUCUGGUGGCUCUUUAACGAUGACGUUGAGUGA